GAUGAACGCUGGCGGCGUGCUUAACACAUGCAAGUCGAACGGAAAGGCCCAAGCUUGCUUGGGUACUCGAGUGGCGAACGGGUGAGUAACACGUGGGUGAUCUGCCCUGCACUUCGGGAUAAGCCUGGGAAACUGGGUCUAAUACUGGAUAGGACCACUUCUUGGAUGUUGUGGUGGAAAGUUUUUUCGGUGUGGGAUGAGCUCGCGGCCUAUCAGCUUGUUGGUGGGGUAAUGGCCUACCAAGGCGUCGACGGGUAGCCGGCCUGAGAGGGUGUACGGCCACAUUGGGACUGAGAUACGGCCCAGACUCCUACGGGAGGCAGCAGUGGGGAAUAUUGCACAAUGGGCGCAAGCCUGAUGCAGCGACGCCGCGUGGGGGAUGACGGCCUUGGGGUUGUAAACUCCUUUCGCUAGGGACGAAGCGUUUUGUGACGGUACCUGGAGAAGAAGCACCGGCUAACUACGUG
rnacentral:rRNA from 1 species